rnacentral:piRNA from 1 species
UGCAGAGAAACCUUGUUUCAAAACACACA